UUUAUCUGUCAAGUUUCUUCACAUUCGACUAGUUCCUUUUCUUGUUCACCUUAAGUGAACUGUGUGUGUUUCUUUUAAAAAGAACUAGGCUAUGUGAACCACAGUGUUGUUUGUGCCUACAUUUACAAGGAAAGUGGUCAGUAAAACCACUUGCUUGUAAACGUGGGCUUAAACAACGAGUAAAGUAAAACAUUAAUUUAGUCCACUCUGUUAAAACAGUGCCAUAACAAAGAUGUUAAAAAGAGCAGUAUCAAACUAUUGCAUGAGCAUGUCGCAGGAAAGCAAGUCUGUUUUGCAUUGGAUGUUGGUUUUGCAUUGGAUGUUGGUGUGUCUUUGUUUUUGAAACUUGUCUGUGUUGCAGGCCCUUUGUUGCGAGUACUCGUGUCUGUCUUUGCCCCAAUUUACUAGACGACCAUCUAUCAAUCACCAGAGACACAAAAUGGUUACUUUCUUACACAAGGGCAAGAUCUUGAAGUUGACCCAUGUGGCCAGAGGUCUGGAUGCAGAAGGGGCUUUAUUGGUGGACAUUGUUAUUAACGGCUUUGUUCCUCCAACGCUGGUCGCUUCUAAUCUCAACCUACAGGUGAUUGAUGAGUCAUAUGUACAGACGGGCUCCGGGCAGCUUUAUUCCUGGUCUUCCCAGACAAGAUAUUAACGAAUGCACCCAAGGCUCCAACUUGUGUCAUUCCAACCAGCAGUAUGUGAACACUGUGGGGACGUAUUGCAGUCAAGCCAAGUGAGGACCGGGCUUUAAACCCAGUGUGGUGGGCACCAGCUGUGAAGCUUACUUUGCCAUAUUAUUAAAAAAGACGUUUGGAUUUUAGAAAAACUUUAGCCCUGGGAACAAUCCUACUGAUAUUGGACCAGUCAUUGAUUAAAUUUGGAACAUUUUAUAAACAA